AGGUACCCGUCAAACCUCACCAGGUCUUGACAUGCUUCUGCAAAGCUGUAGAAACACAGUGGAGGUUAUCAGUUGCACAGGUGGUGCAUGGUUGUCGUCAACUCGUGUCGUGAGAUGUUGGGUUAAGGCAACGAGCGCAACCCAUUGUUACUUACCACCAGCUAAUGGUCGGCAGUUCUAUCAAGGUAGACAGUCAUAAAUUGCAAGAAGGAAGAGAGGACGUCGAAUUGUCAUGCUUCUUAUGACAACGGACCACAAUAGCUGAUACAAACCGUACAUCAACCGUAUUCGCGAAUCCCAAGGCACCCGUCUCAGUUCGGAUUGCAGUCUGCAAGUCGACUUCAUGAAGUUGUAAUCGCUAGUAUCGUGAAUCAACAUGUCGCGGUCAAUACGUUGACGGGGUUUGUCACCGCCCGUCAAACCACGAAAGUUGGCAAUACCCAAAGCGUGGCCUAACGCAAGAAGAGGGAACCGUCUAAGGUAGGGU
rnacentral:rRNA from 1 species